rnacentral:rRNA from 1 species
AGUCGAGGGGUAUUAGGAGCUUGCUCCUAAGAGACCGGCGCACGGGUGCGUAACGCGUAUGCAAUCUACCUUGUACAGGGGAAUAGCCCAGAGAAAUUUGGAUUAAUGCCCCAUAGUAUAAUUGAAUCGCAUGGUUUAAUUAUUAAAGUUCCAACGGUACAAGAUGAGCAUGCGUCCCAUUAGUUAGUUGGUAAGGUAACGGCUUACCAAGACAAUGAUGGGUAGGGGUCCUGAGAGGGAGAUCCCCCACACUGGUACUGAGACACGGACCAGACUCCUACGGGAGGCAGCAGUGAGGAAUAUUGGUCAAUGGGCGCAAGCCUGAACCAGCCAUGCCGCGUGCAGGAAGACGGUCCUAUGGAUUGUAAACUGCUUUUAUACAGGAAGAAACAACUCUACGUGUAGAGUCUUGACGGUACUGUAGGAAUAAGGAUCGGCUAACUCCGUGCCAGCAGCCGCGGUAAUACGGAGGAUCCAAGCGUUAUCCGGAAUCAUUGGGUUUAAAGGGUCCGUAGGCGGUCUUAUAAGUCAGUGGUGAAAUCUCCUAGCUCAACUAGGAAACUGCCAUUGAUACUGUAAGACUUGAAUUUUUGUGAAGUAACUAGAAUAUGUAGUGUAGCGGUGAAAUGCUUAGAUAUUACAUGGAAUACCAAUUGCGAAGGCAGGUUACUAACAAACGAUUGACGCUGAUGGACGAAAGCGUGGGGAGCGAACAGGAUUAGAUACCCUGNUAGUCCACGCCGUAAACGAUGGAUACUAGCUGUUCGGCGCAAGUUGAGUGGCUAAGCGAAAGUGAUAAGUAUCCCACCUGGGGAGUACGCACGCAAGUGUGAAACUCAAAGGAAUUGACGGGGGCCCGCACAAGCGGNGGANCAUGNGGUUUAAUUCGAUGAUACGCGAGGAANNUUACCNAGGCUUAAAUGUAGUUUGACCGAUUUNGAA